rnacentral:lncRNA from 1 species
UCACCAGAACUGCAAAAUCUGGUGGUGGGACGGGCCACUUGGGCCAGCCGCCCAGUCUUUCCCGGAAAGACGAAUCCAAGGGUGGAAAGCUCCCAGUCAGACCACGAUUCCACCCCCGGAAGAUCUCUACCUCCAUCUUACCAGAAGACCCUCGAGACCCAUAGUCGAGAGGAUUUCCUGGACCGGAGACUUCAGGAGAUGAACCGGCA